GACGAACGCUGGCGGCGUGCUUAACACAUGCAAGUCGAACGGAAAGGCCCUGCUUUUGUGGGGUGCUCGAGUGGCGAAAGGGUGAGUAACACGUGAGUAACCUGCCCUUGACUUUGGGAUAACUUCAGGAAACUGGGGCUAAUACCGGCUAUGAGCUCCUGCUGCCUGGUGUGGUUUGGAAAGUUUCGGCGGUUGUGGAUGGACUCGCGGCUUCUCAGCUUGUUUGUGGGGUAGUGGCUUACCCAGCCUUUGACGGGUCGCCUGCCUGAGAGGGUGACCGGCGACCUGGGGACUGAGAGACGGCCCAGACGCCUACGGGAGGCAGAGGUGGGGAAUAUUGCACAAUGGGCGGAAGCCUGAUGCAGCAACGCCGCGUGCGGGAUGACGGCCUUCGGGUUGUAAACCGCUUUCGACGGUGACGAAGCGUGAGUGACGGUAAUGGGUAAAGAAGCACCGGCUAACUACGUG
rnacentral:rRNA from 1 species